GGGGAGUAUCCUGUUCACUGUCUGCGUCUGGCUGAAGGGCUUCAGCUGUGUCUGGGGUGCUCUGCAGCUGAGGGGGAGAAGGAGCUGGGUUCUCAGGAGUUUCCUCUGUUUCUCCUUCUGGGUCUGCUGCUUCUGGGUCUGCUGCUGUUACUCCUGAGUCAUCCUCGUCUGAUGAGUCCUCUGACGGGGCCAUGACACUAGUUUACAGGAGGCCAUGGUGAGGACUGUCCACCAUGCUGAAUGUACACCAACAAAAAUGUUCCCUGCGUUUCUCUGCAACGUGGAAGCCUUACAUGUCGCCAGGACUUCCUAAGUCUGAUCAGCAGAGAGUGACCAAGUGUUGCAAUAACUUAGGAAGACUCAACAGGUUUGGCAAAAGCUGUUCACUUCUAAAGAAUGCUAGGCACAGAAACUGCUGCUUCUUAAUUUUGGGUUGAAAAAGGAAGUGUGGUAAAGGCCCCAUUCCUUGCUUGCUGGUUAAUGAGGCUCAUCUGAAACAUUUAUGACCAUCUUCACACAGUUUACAAAGUUCACAGAGAAUAUAGCUGCCAAAGAAAAUGCCAAAGAAAGUAUGCGCUCCCCACAUCCCUCAGUCUG